AGGAUAUACUGUUCUCACAUAUAUAGUAUAAAUGUAUUUGGAAAAUAUUAUUAUUUACUCCCAAGGAGGAGAAUGAUGUAAAGAAAUAUAUUAAGUUGUAAAUAUUUAUUUAUUCUCAAAGGUUGUGUGUUUUGUGUGAGAUGCUUGGUCUUCAAGUAGUACUAAUUUAGUAGCUAUUUCUAGUUUUGUACACAUUUUUGUAAAAUUACAAUAAUUGAAAAGAUUGAAAAAUUAUAAUUGAAAAGAUUGAAAAAUUAUAGUUGAAAAGAUUGAAAAAUGAUAAAAAUAAAAAUAAGAUUGAUACUAAACAGUAAUAGAUUAUGAUUUGGUUAUGUAUGGUAGGACUUAAAUUAGUAUGUAUGUAGAACAUUUCUUUAUUCAAAUUUUGCUGCAAUUAUAUGCACAGUACAGUGAAACGAAAAGAUAAGAAAAAUAAUUCUUUUGCUUUCGAGAAUAAAACGAAUCUCUCAUAUAAAUGAGAUGUGAUAUCAUAAUAAGACAUUCCACAUGAAAAAAUUUUGUGCUGUUUUUUUGUGCAAUCAAUCUGAUGCAGUGUUUUGAUAAAGUGCUUGGGUAACAGUUAUAUAUGUGUGUUUGAUUUCAUAUUGAGGAAAUGUAUAUACGUCUGUUAAAUUGCUUAUAUUGCCAAAUACAUUCCAAGUAAAGAACAAUAAAAUAGAAUUGAAAUUUAUUUUGAUAUAUACUUCGUUUUGUGGUUAUACAUUUUACGAGUGACAACUGACAAAUUUCGUGGUUUUUAAAAGCUUCUUAUGGCAAAUCAUAAUGGUGUGAUUUCAGAAUGAAAAUUAUUAAAACCUCCUCAAAGUUUGAUAUUUUUUGUAUGUCAGAAAAAAGUGAGACAAAGGACUUUAACAUCACCUGAAGUUUUAUCAUGUUCAUGUCAGUAGAUAAAAACAAAUAUGAUAUUUUGUUAGUCUUAAGAUUAUUCACGCUUAUCAGUUAGAUAAUUGCCCAGUCCUAUUUAUAUUGUAUUGCAGAUUCACUCUUGACAGCAACUGUCAUUUAAAAAAAAUAAGUAGAAAUAUUUUUCAACCAAAUAUUGGCAAGUUAAAUGUAUGUAUUUCUUCACAGGAUGUUACUGUUUAUCUUUUACCAAACUUUAGACCAUUAUUGAUUGUUAGAUUGUUAAAAGUUUGAUAUACAUGAAUGUUAACAUUUAUUUUAUAUGCAGUAUAUUUUGUUAAAGGUGUAUUUAUAGUUGUUUUAUUUAAGAUCCAUUAUGUUUCCAUGGUGUUUGUUGGUUAUGUUUAUAAUGAUUUUCAAAUUGUUAAAAUGAAGAAAAUAAUCUUUUAUUUCCUGAAAGCUUAAAAUCAUAAAU
rnacentral:lncRNA from 1 species